rnacentral:lncRNA from 1 species
GCUGAGCAGAUCCUGCUGUGAACUGAAUGUCAGAGUGGCUGUUUUAGGCUCAGGGCCGCGGAGAACGACUCUGGCCAGGCAUGGAUCCCAGCCCCUUGGGAGACUUCAUCCGACCCACCGGGCCGCAGGGUGGCUGGUCGAGGAAGACCCCUUCACUCUUUUCCAAAAGGCCCCAACUUCAGUCCGAGGUAUGGGGGACUGGGUGAAGGGUGGGGUGAGUCCACGGCCCCCACGCUCCUCCUCACCAUCUGGCCACUCCAUGAGCCCCUCCUGAGCCCAUCCCUGUGGAGCUUGCUGCCUCCUGAAGCAGUUUGGGGCCUCCGUCCUCUCCAGCUUCUGGCUUUCCCCUGGCAUCUUCUCAUGAGUUGGGGGAGGGGAGGGAGGCUUAUACUUCCUUAUUCUGUUUUGGAGGGUAAAGAUGGCACAGGGCUGUUCAUAACGGGGGAAGGAUGCAGAAAUAGCACUAGGAAUAACAUGCAGGCAUUUGACUGCGUGUGUCCUGUUCCUUUCUUAACAGAUGGCCCUCCGGUCUGGGGUCCACCCCUCGUAACCCCCCUCAUCCUGGCCAGGGAUCUAUCUUAGCUCCUUAUUUACACAGCAAGUGUCUGGUCCUCGGCUAGGAACUGUGAGCACAUUCCUCUGUGGUGACCAAGUGGUCCUUUGUAGGGUUUGGGGGGCAGCUGAGGGCUGCCGCUCCCUGGGCAUGCAGGGUCCUGACCACACACUCUCUCCUCUCUCCCUUGAGGGAUAUGGGUCCAACUGAGGCUGAAAGUAUCAUGGGGUUGGGGGAGGCUACACCUACCUGUUUGUGCUUCUGGCUUUUCAGACUUCCCUUUCUCUGGAGCAUGAAGAUAAGGAGGGAGGCAAUCCCCUCUCAGUGAUGGACCUGGGCAUCGAUUAAAUUCCCUUAGGGGGCAGAAGUGUUGAAAAAAAAUGCGUGGCAAAAUGGCAGGGACUUUACUUGUAAAUACUGUUAAUUUCACCUAUUCUCUUCUCUGCGGAUGAAGUAUGAAAAUCGAGUAUACUUUUCUUGAAAGUAAAUCUAAGACAGUGAGCUGCAUCCUUGCGUGUUUGUUUCCACGCAAACAGGAGGCAGAGACUGCUAAUUCCCUCCCCCUGUCCUUGGUUGGAGAAUUUCAGUUGUAGUCUACCAGUCCAUGGACUCCACCAAAAGACUACAGCUCUCAGUUUCCCCCGCAACUCGGUGUGACCACCUGCCUAGGUCCUGGCCAAUGAGGUAUAAACUGAGGCGUAUCCCAGAGGCUUCCUAAGUGAGUUGACUGAUGGGCUACACCCUUUCUGCCACGUGAGAUUUCUUCCUUCUUUUGGCCUGCGGGCAGGACACCGUGGCCGAAGUGACAGCAUCUAUCCUGGGCCAUUGAGGCUGGAAAGCACAUGUUAGGUAGAUAAAGCAGAACACCGGGGUCUGGGCCCCUGAAGACCAUGGAAUCACCAAACCCGUCCUUCCUUUGAACUUUUGCAUGAUAGUGAAAUAAAUAAUGUCUAUCUUAUUUAAGCCA